rnacentral:rRNA from 1 species
AGUGAACGCUGGCGGUAGGCCUAACACAUGCAAGUCGAACGGCAGCACAGUAAGAGCUUGCUCUUACGGGUGGCGAGUGGCGGGCGGGUGAGGAAUACAUCGGCAUCUACUUUUUCGUGGGGGAUAACGGAGGGAAACUUACGCUAAUACCGCAUACGACCUACGGGUGAAAGCAGGGGAUCUUCGGACCUUGCGCGAUUGAAUGAGCCGAUGUCGGAUUAGCUAGUUGGCGGGGUAAAGGCCCACCAAGGCGACGAUCCGUAGCUGGUCUGAGAGGAUGAUCAGCCACACUGGAACUGAGACACGGUCCAGACUCCUACGGGAGGCAGCAGUGGGGAAUAUUGGACAAUGGGCGCAAGCCUGAUCCAGCCAUACCGCGUGGGUGAAGAAGGCCUUCGGGUUGUAAAGCCCUUUUGUUGGGAAAGAAAAGCAGCAGGUUAAUACCCCGCUGUUCUGACGGUACCCAAAGAAUAAGCACCGGCUAACUUCGUG